rnacentral:rRNA from 1 species
UGGGGAAUAUUGCACAAUGGGCGCAAGCCUGAUGCAGCAACGCCGCGUGAGGGAAGACGGUUUUCGGAUUGUAAACCUCUGUCUUUGGUGACGAAGAAGUGACGGUAGCCAAGGAGGAAGCCACGGCUAACUACGUGCCAGCAGCCGCGGUAAUACGUAGGUGGCAAGCGUUAUCCGGAAUUACUGGGUGUAAAGGGAGCGCAGGCGGGAUAGCAAGUCAGCUGUGAAAACUAUGGGCUCAACCCAUAAACUGCAGUUGAAACUGUUAUUCUUGAGUGGAGUAGAGGCAAGCGGAAUUCCGAGUGUAGCGGUGAAAUGCGUAGAUAUUCGGAGGAACACCAGUGGCGAAGGCGGCUUGCUGGGCUCUAACUGACGCUGAGGCUCGAAAGUGUGGGGAGCAAACAGGAUUAGAUACCCUGGUAGU